rnacentral:rRNA from 1 species
GCUCAGAAUGAACGCUGGCGGCGUGCUUUACACAUGCAAGUCGAGCGAGGCUGGGUAGCAAUACCCAAGUCGAGCGGCGAACGGGUGAGUAACGCGUGGAUUAUCUGCCCUGAGGUGGGGAACAACCAGGGGAAACUCUGGCUAAUACCGCAUAACACCGUGAGGUCAAAGGGGGCCGCAAGGCUCUCGCCACAGGAGGAGUCCGCGUCCGAUUAGCUAGUUGGUAGGGUAAUGGCCUACCAAGGCGACGAUCGGUAGCCGGCCUGAGAGGGUGAUCGGCCACACUGGAACUGAGACACGGUCCAGACUCCUACGGGAGGCAGCAGUGGGGAAUUUUGCGCAAUGGGCUAACGCCUGACGCAGCAACGCCGCGUGGAGGAUGAAGGUCUUUGGAUUGUAAACUCCUGUCGACCGGGAAAAAGCGAUUCGACCUAACACGUCGGAGAGUUGAUUGUACCGGUGGAGGAAGCCCCGGCUAACUCUGUGCCAGCAGCCGCGGUAAUACAGAGGGGGCAAGCGUUAUUCGGAAUUAUUGGGCGUAAAGGGCGCGUAGGCGGCUUGGCAAGUGGAAGGUGAAAUCCCUCGGCUUAACCGAGGAACUGCCCUCCAAACUGCUUGGCUUGAGACCGGGAGAGGUGAGUGGAAUUCCCAGUGUAGCGGUGAAAUGCGUAGAUAUUGGGAGGAACGCCAGUGGCGAAGGCGGCUCACUGGACCGGUACUGACGCUGAUGCGCGAAAGCGUGGGGAGCAAACGGGAUUAGAUACCCCGGUAGUCCACGCCGUAAACGAUGAGUGCUUGGUGUAGCGGGUAUCGACCCCUGCUGUGCCGAAGUCAACACAUUAAGCACUCCGCCUGGGGAGUACGGUCGCAAGGCUGAAACUAAAU